rnacentral:misc_RNA from 1 species
UCCGGCUUGUCACCGGCGGUUUCCCCAGAGUGCCCACCACUACGUGCUGGCAACUGAGGAUGGGGGUUGCGCUCGUUGCGGGACUUAACCCAACAUCUCACGACACGAGCUGACGACAACCAUGCACCACCUGUCACCGUGUCCCCCGAAGGGAAACGCUCUGUCUCCAGAGUUGUCACGGGAUGUCAAGACCUGGUAAGGUUCUUCGCGUUGCUUCGAAUUAAACCACAUGCUCCACCGCUUGUGCGGGCCCCCGUCAAUUCCUUUGAGUUUCAGUCUUGCGACCGUACUCCCCAGGCGGAGUGCUUAAUGCGUUAGCUGCAGCACUAAAGGGCGGAAACCCUCUAACACUUAGCACUCAUCGUUUACGGCGUGGACUAC